rnacentral:rRNA from 1 species
CGGCGGACGGGUGAGUACACGUGGGUAACCUGCCUGUAAGACUGGGAUAACUCCGGGAAACCGGGGCUAAUACCGGAUGCUUGAUUGAACCGCAUGGUUCAAUCAUAAAAGGUGGCUUUUAGCUACCACUUACAGAUGGACCCGCGGCGCAUUAGCUAGUUGGUGAGGUAACGGCUCACCAAGGCGACGAUGCGUAGCCGACCUGAGAGGGUGAUCGGCCACACUGGGACUGAGACACGGCCCAGACUCCUACGGGAGGCAGCAGUGGUCAU